CGCGGGAUAGCUCAGCUGGCAGAGCGCGGGCCUCAUACGCCCGAGGUCGGUGGAUCAUUCCCACCUCCCGCAACCA
rnacentral:tRNA from 1 species